rnacentral:rRNA from 1 species
UACGUAGGUGGCAAGCGUUAUCCGGAAUUACUGGGCGUAAAGGGUGUGCAGGCGGGGAAGCAAGUGGUGUAUGAAAUCUCCCAGCUUAACUGGGAUAGGUUAUGCCAUACUGCUUUUCUAGAGGACGAGAGAGGGGGGUGGAAUUCCGGGUGUAGUGGUGAAAUGCGUAGAGAUCCGGAGGAACCCCAGAGGCGAAGGCGGCCCCCUGGCUCGUACCUGACGCUCAGCCACGAAAGCAUGGGGAGCGAACGGG